rnacentral:ncRNA from 1 species
GGAACUCUGGAGACAUCCGCCCACCGAGGCGGGGGCCGAAGGUACAAGGGCGAAAGCCCUAAUCUCUCAGGCAAAAGGACAGAGCA